CUUUCCUGUGUUUCAGGUUCUUGGGGUCUGAAGCAAGAAGUUGCUCUGAGCAAGUGAUGAUGACUCCCUGGCUGCACUGUGAGCUCCUGCCAGCCAAUGAAAAGGUUUCUUGGCUUACCCGUUAUUUUCUGCUCCUGUUCUUUGGCAACAUGCUGCAGACACACAAAAAGGUGACUAUUCAUGGCCUGGCAGGUGGAAGAUUAAUUCUGACAGAGGAAGAAUUUCUUGAUGAAGUGACUUCAAAGGCAAAAUAUUGUGGAGGGGGAAGCAGGCAACACUUGUGUGAAAGAAGAAGAGGGAGGCUGUGCCAGUUGGCAUCAAGCACUAGAAGGAUAACCUUCGUCCUCAGGGCUGACACCAGCAGCUCAGGUUAGUGCAUUGGCAGUUUUGCCUGUGCUGCCGUUUCGGCUCCCCCCAGCCCCUGGCUGAUUCACAUCCAGGGACAGAGAGGGCACCUGGCCCAUGUCCAGUGCCUGCACCAGGCAGAGCAAAGAAAUCUUUGAAAGAAAUGAUGGAGGUAUGUGAAAAAUCCCCUCUGGGAAAACUGAGCUCAUUAUCCUUCCUUCCUUCCUUCCUGCUCAGCCUGUUGUAGCUGAGCUGACAGAAUCCCCAGUGGUCUUGAGGCCUUUGUGUAAAGUUUCUCUCACCUCGCCACAGUCUGUAGUAGGCCAUGAAUUUUCUGAUUUUUAC
rnacentral:lncRNA from 1 species